UACAGGGGGGGGCAAGCGUUGUUCGGAAUUACUGGGCGUAAAGGGCGCGUAGGCGGCCUUCUAAGUCGAACGUGAAAUCCCCGGGCUCAACCCGGGAACUGCGUCCGAUACUGGAAGGCUUGAAUCCGGGAGAGGGAUGUGGAAUUCCAGGUGUAGCGGUGAAAUGCGUAGAUAUCUGGAGGAACACCGGUGGCGAAGGCGACAUCCUGGACCGGUAUUGACGCUGAGGCGCGAAAGCCAGGGGAGCAAACGGG
rnacentral:rRNA from 1 species